rnacentral:rRNA from 1 species
GACGGACGCUGGCGGCGUGCUUAACACAUGCAAGUCGAACGGGUCUGCCCUGUUUUUUGCGGGGUGGGUCAGUGGCGAACGGGUGAGUAACACGUGAGUAACCUGCCCCUCACUUCUGGAUAACCGCUUGAAAGGGUGGCUAAUACGGGGUGUUCUGGCUGUGCCGCAUGGUGUGGCUGGGAAAGAUUCACUUUUGUGGUGUUUUGGUGGGGGAUGGGCUCGCGGCCUAUCAGCUUGUUGGUGGGGUGAUGGCCUGCCAAGGCUUUGACGGGUAGCCGGCCUGAGAGGGUGGGCGGUCACACGGGGAAUGAGAUACGGCCCAGACUCCUGCGGGAGGCAGCAGUGGGGGGUAUUGCACAAUGGGCGGAAGCCUGAUGCAGCGACGUCGCGUGAGGGAUGGAGGCCUUCGGGUUGUGAACCUCUUUCGCCGGUGAAGAAGGUCCUGCUCUUUGUGGUGGGGUUGACGGUAGCCGGGUUAUGAAGCGCCGGCUAACUACGUG